rnacentral:tRNA from 1 species
GGGCAGGUGGCGGAGUGGUCAAUCGCAACAGACUGUAAAUCUGUCGCCUUUAUGGCUACGUAGGUUCAAAUCCUACCCUGCCCACCA